rnacentral:rRNA from 1 species
UUCGCCCUUAGAGUUUGAUCCUGGCUCAGGACGAACGCUGGCGGCGCGCCUAACACAUGCAAGUCGAACGAGAGAGAGGGAGCUUGCUUCCUUGAUCGAGUGGCGAACGGGUGAGUAACGCGUGAGGAACCUGCCUCAAAGAGGGGGACAACAGUUGGAAACGACUGCUAAUACCGCAUAAGCCCACGACCCGGCAUCGGGAAGAGGGAAAAGGAGCAAUCCGCUUUGAGAUGGCCUCGCGUCCGAUUAGCUAGUUGGUGAGGUAACGGCCCACCAAGGCGACGAUCGGUAGCCGGACUGAGAGGUUGAACGGCCACAUUGGGACUGAGACACGGCCCAGACUCCUACGGGAGGCAGCAGUGGGGAAUAUUGCACAAUGGGGGAAACCCUGAUGCAGCAACGCCGCGUGAAGGAAGACGGUUUUCGGAUUGUAAACUUCUGUUCUUAGUGAAGAAUAAUGACGGUAGCUAAGGAGCAAGCCACGGCUAACUACGUGCCAGCAGCCGCGGUAAUACGUAGGUGGCAAGCGUUGUCCGGAAUUACUGGGUGUAAAGGGAGCGUAGGCGGGAUGCCAAGUCAGCUGUGAAAACUAUGGGCUUAACCUGUAGACUGCAGUUGAAACUGGUAUUCUUGAGUGAAGUAGAGGUUGGCGGAAUUCCGAGUGUAGCGGUGAAAUGCGUAGAUAUUCGGAGGAACACCGGUGGCGAAGGCGGCCAACUGGGCUUUAACUGACGCUGAGGCUCGAAAGUGUGGGGAGCAAACAGGAUUAGAUACCCUGGUAGUCCACACUGUAAACGAUGAUAACUAGGUGUGGGGGGUCUGACCCCUUCCGUGCCGCAGCUAACGCAAUAAGUUAUCCACCUGGGGAGUACGACCGCAAGGUUGAAACUCAAAGGAAUUGACGGGGGCCCGCACAAGCAGUGGAGUAUGUGGUUUAAUUCGACGCAACGCGAAGAACCUUACCAAGUCUUGACAUCCUGCGACGCACAUAGAAAUAUGUGUUUCCUUCGGGACGCAGAGACAGGUGGUGCAUGGUUGUCGUCAGCUCGUGUCGUGAGAUGUUGGGUUAAGUCCCGCAACGAGCGCAACCCUUAUGGUCAGUUACUACGCAAGAGGACUCUGGCCAGACUGCCGUUGACAAAACGGAGGAAGGUGGGGAUGACGUCAAAUCAUCAUGCCCUUUAUGACUUGGGCUACACACGUACUACAAUGGCGUUAAACAAAGAGAAGCAAGACCGCGAGGUGGAGCAAAACUCAGAAACAACGUCCCAGUUCGGACUGCAGGCUGCAACUCGCCUGCACGAAGUCGGAAUUGCUAGUAAUCGCAGAUCAGCAUGCUGCGGUGAAUACGUUCCCGGGCCUUGCACACACCGCCCGUCA